AAUUUCCUGUAAGUAGGAAUUUUUCUGUUAUUGAGCAAGUUUUAUUCUUAUUUAUGUAUGACUGCUUUGUUGUUCAGAAAAUUGAGACACUUUGUAGUAAGACAUUUGCAUUUGAGUCAAAGCAAAUUAUUCCAUAUAUUUUGCCUUAUCUAAAUUCAUGCAAUUCGAAUUUGCAUGAAUAAGAGGUCUUAGUGCGAAGAUAUAGUCUAUCAGCAAAUGAGAAGGAUAGACACAUACUCAAGCCAUGGAAACCUUCUUUUCUUAUACACUUCAAAAUUGCAUUCACUCAAAAAUCCGUAAACAAGAUCUUUCUCUUCUCUGCGAAUCAUGUUUGAACAACGAAAUCCAUAACAUAAAAGUAGGUCAAAUGCUAAAAAAACUGAUUUUGAUUCUAUAUAGUCUUUCUGAUUUUUAUGCCUUUAUCUCAGCAAGGAGAUCAGAUGUCCAACCCAUUUAUUUUUCUGGUAUUCAAGUAGGUCGGAAUAGUUGGAAUAUGUAUUAUCAUAAUAAUGGUAGAAAUGGAAUUAGACACUCUUUAUGUGCUUGGGUGUUAGAAAAAUGUAGUCCAUAAAAUAUAUGCUUCACGAUUUAGGCGUAGAGUAGUUUGUGAACUUUUUAAUUUCAAUAGUGGUACUAUUGAAUUUCAACGAUAUAAUACAGUAAAUAAUUCUGUUUAAGUUUGUUCGGUACUUGCAUUUCAAAGUGCAGGCAAUGUGUUUCCUAGAAGGACAUAGAUUAGUUUGUUGCCCUAUAGUAUUAGGGUAGAUAUAUUUCUAGUCCAAGUCAGAGACAAAGUAAUCACAAGUAAUGUGAUUACUUUUCUAUUUGUCCUACUUCCUCUCAUUGUUAAAAUAUUCUGUAGUAUUCCUUCCCUCUCGGCCAUAUUCCUCUAUCUCGCCAAGGCAAACAAACACAUUCGCCUUUGAUAUUUUGAACUAUGUUUCCAGGUACGGUGGUCAUUGAUUUUUAUCUGCUUUCUUAAUUUCCAGUUAUGCUACAGCAGAAAUGUGGUCUCUUAAUUCCAAAUCAGCAACUCCCGAACGAGGGUGGUAAAUAUCAUUUUGGUUUCUUAUAGUGUUGAUCUUUUUUUGAUAGUUGUGAGUUGUCAAUCUGACUUUGAAGUAGAAGUGCUUGAAGGUACUGCGGAAGAAGAAAAAGAUUAUGCUUUUGUAGAAACAAAGCAAUUCAACAAGGAAAGCCUCUGGAUAUACUAGCUUGGUGAAGAAGAGUGUAAAGGCUUCUCGAAAUAAGUUUGUUGACUGUCUUAAAAAAGGAAAACGCAGAGAUUAAAGAUAAUUCUCAGAAUACCCUUUUUCCUGCCAAGUUAACAUGGUGUCCUGAUGUUAACAUUGUGUCACACUGCUCACCAACGGUCGCUUUCCCAACCCAAAUUGUAUCCAUGAAUUAUUGGUGCUGAGGCUACAAAUAAUAUUGCACGUGGUUUAGAUUUUCGUUCUGUGUAUAUGUAUGGGUAGAGUCAAUGUCAUCACAUUCAAAUAGAUUAUUUAUUUUUUUAUCAUUUAUUUUGUGUCGUACUGGAUAGGAUUAUGCAUACUAGAAUGGAGAAGCUCGAGGGUUGGCAUUGUUUAGAUAGUAUAUAUAUGGAGGAGAUCAGGGGACCGAGAAUGAACUAAUGUAUUUUUGGAGCAUUUGAUGCCGUCAAUUAAUUCUCAACAAGAAGGCCAAAGAAAGAAUGCUGGUGAACAAGCGUCUUAAAUUAGGCAAGUGAUGCAUUUUUUAUCGCAGGGUAAUUGGACCGCUUGUGGUCCUAGCAAAAGAAACCUUAGAGUUCAACGUCUUACAAUGUUUAAUUUCUUUUCUGAUCACUUUUUCUAUUUACUCCUUUUUGAAAAAUGUUUUUCUUUCCGGUACAUGCAGAACUCAGAGCUUCAGAUAACAUAUUCUACUUUGAGAAUGAUAAAAGACAUUGGCUUCUAUUCCAGUUCUGGAUCCACUUACCUAAAUUGGUUUUAGAUUUCAGAAUGUUACUAUUAUAAUUUGAAAACAAUCUCAGGUUAUAAUUUGAAUUUGCCUGUGGAGCUUUAGUUUAUUUCCUUUUCUUGGAGCUUUAGGAGGUUGUCCCGACAUCCUCUCUAUUUGAAUUUGCCUGUGGAGAGGAGAAUCUAUGUUAUGAGGACGAGGAGAAUCUACGUUAUUCAUAUCAAACGCUAAAAGGUAGACAUAAGGCUCAAAGUGCCGGAGGAAUCCCAAUCCCAAUAACUUGCUUUGGAUGUCUCAACCAAACGCAUUGACUCUUAUCAAUGCCAACUAGUCUUACUGAAUUUGCACUUGGAGUCUGCAACGAGUUAUUCAUAGGCAGAAGGGAAGGCAACUGUUGAGCAGAUAAGUGCUGACGCCAUUUCUUAUAAAAACAUUCCGUGCUUAAGGAAGAUGUUACCGAUGAAAAGGACAAGCUAAAGAAGCUCAGUUUCAUAUUUACUUGGCAAUUAUUUAGUUAGGCCACUCUUUGUUAUAUUCGUGACUGAAUUUGUGUGUUCUUUUGUUUUUACUAGAUGAGUUCUGGUCCGCGCUUAGCCUGGUUAAUAUCGUAAAAGCUAGUUGUAUGAGUUUUUUGGUAACUACUCAUUUUCCCUCUUCUUUUCAAAUGGCUCUUAAUAUAUUUCUAUAUCAUCCCUAGAGGAAACCAAUCUGCAGAAGUGUUCAAGUACAAAAUAUAUGUUUCAUCU